CGCCCGGCCAGCCACCCCGUCCGGGAGGUGGGGGGCGCCUCUGCCCGGUCGCCCCUUCUGGGAAGUGAGGAGCCCCUCUGCCCGGCCACCACCCCAUCUGGGAUGUGUACCCAACAGCUCAUUGAGAACGGGUCAUGAUGACAAUGGCGGUUUUGUGGAAUAGAAAAGGGGGAAAGGUGGGGAAAAGAUUGAGAAAUCGGAUGGUUGUUGUGUCUGUGUAGAAAGAAAUAGACAUGGAAGACUUUUCAUUUUGUUCUGUACUAAGAAAAAUUCUUCUGCCUUGGGAUCCUGUUGAUCUAUGACCUUACCGCCAACCCUGUGCUCUCUGAAACAUGUGCUGUGUCCACUCAAGGUUAAAUGGAUUAAGGGCGGUGCAAGAUGUGCUUUGUUAAACAGAUGCUUGAAGGCAGCAUGCUCGUUAAGAGUCAUCACCACUCCCUAAUCUCAAGUACCCAGGGACACAAACACUGCGGAAGGCCGCAGGGUCCUCUGCCUAGGAAAACCAGAGACCUUUGUUCACUUGUUUAUCUGCUGACCUUCCCUCCACUAUUGUCCUAUGACCCUGCCAAAUCUCCCUCUGUGAGAAACACCCAAGAAUGAUCAAUAAAAAAAAAAAAAAAGAAAAAGAAAAAAUUAAGGCAGAAAUAAAGAAGUUCCUUGAAAGCAAUGAGAACAAAGAGACAAAGUACCAGAAUCUCUGGAACACAGCUAAAGCAGUGUUAAGCGGAAAAUUAUUGCACCAAAUGCCCACAUCAGAAAGCUGAAAGGAUCUAAAAUCAACACCCUAACAUCACAAUUAAAAGAACUAUAGAAGCAAGAACAAACAAAUUCAAAAGCUAGCAGAACACAAGAAAUAACUAAGAUUAGAGUAGAACUGAAGGAGAUAGAGACACAAAAAACCCUUCAAAAAAUCAAUGAAUCCAGGAGCUGUUUUUUGAAAACAUAGACAAAAUACAUAGACUGCCAGCUAGACUAAUAAAGAAAAGAGAGAAGAAUCAAAUAGACACAAUAAAAAUGAUAAAUAGGAUAUCACCACUGAUCUGACAGAAAUACAAACUACCAACAGAGAAUACUAUAAACACCUCUUUGCAAAUAAACUAGAAAAUUUAGAAAAAAAUGGAUAAAUUCCUGGACACAUACACACACCCUCCCAAGACUAAACCAGGAAGAAGUCAAAUCCCUGAAUAGACCAAUAACAAGUUCUGAAAUUGAGGCAGUAAUUAAUAGCCUACCAACCAAAAAAAGCCCAGGACCACAUGGAUUCACAGCCAAAUUCUAUCAGAGAUACAAAGAGGAGCUGGUAUCAUUCCUUCUGAAACUAUUCCAAACAAUGGAAGAAGAGGGACUCCUUCCUAACUCAUUUUAUGAGGCCAGCAUCAUCCUGAUUCCAAAACCUGGCAGAGACACAACAGAAAAAGAAAAUUUCAGGCCAAUAUCCCUGAAUAAUAUUGAAGUGAAAAUCCUCAAUAAAAUACUGGCAAACCAAUUCCAGCAGCGCAUCAAAAAGCUUAUCCACCACGACCAAGUCGGCUUCAUCCUUGGGAUGCAAGGCUGGUUCAACAUAUGCAAAUCAAUAAAAUAAUCCACCACAUAAACAGAACCAAUGACAAAAAACACAUGAUUAUCUCAAUAGAUGCAGAAAAGACUGUUGAUAAAAUUCAACACCCCUUCAUGCUAAAAACUCUCAAUAAACUAGGUAUUGAUGGAACAUAUCUCAAAAUAAUAGAGCUAUUUAUGACAAAUCCAUAGCCAAUAUCAUACUGAAUGGACAAAAGGUGGAAGCAUUCACUUUGAAAACUGGCACAAGACAAGGAUGCCAUCUCCCACAACUCUUUUGUUUUUUGAGACGGAGUUUCACUCGUUUCCCAGGCUAGAGUGCAAUGGCAUGAUCUCGGCUCACCACAACCUCUGCCUCCUGGGUGCAAGUGAUUCUCCUGCCUCAGCCUCCGGAGUAGCUGGGAUUACAGGCGUAUGACAACAUGCCUGGAUAAUUUUGUAUUUUUAGUAGAGACAGAGUUUCUCCAUGUUGGUCAGGCUGGUCUUGCACUCUCAAUCUCAGGUGAUCCACCCGCCUUGGCCUCCCCAAAUGCUGGGAUUACAUGAGUGAGCCACUGCACCUGGCUCCUCCACUCUUAUUCAACAUAGUAUUGGAAGUUUUGGCCAGGGCAAUCAGGCAAGAGAAAUAAAUAAGGGGUAUUCAAAUAGGAAGAGAGGAAGUAAACUUGUCUCUGUUUGCAGAUGACAUGAUUGUAUAUUUAGAAAACCCCAUCGUCUCCACCCAAAAGCUCCUUGAGCUGAUAAGUAACUUCAGGAAAAUCUCAGGAUACAAAAUCAAUGUGUAAAAAUCACAAGCAUUUGGCUGGUCAUGGUGGCUCAUGCCUGUAAUCCCAGCACUUUGGAAGGCUGAGGCAGGUGGAUCAUCUGAGGUCCACCUACUCGGGAGGCUGAGGCAACAGAAUCGCUUUAACCCAGGAGGCAGAGGUUGCAGUGAGCCAAGAUCAUGCCACUGCACUACAGCCUGGGUAACAGAGUGAGACUCUGUCUCAAAAAAAAAAAAAAAAAAAAAAAAAUCACAAGCAUUUCUAUACACCAGCAAUACACAAGCAGAGGGCCAAAUCAUGAGUGAACUCCUAUUCACAAUUGCUACAAAGAGAAUAAAAUACCUAGGAAUACAACUUACAAGGGAUGUGAAGGACCUCUUCAAGAAGAACUACAAAACACUGCUCAUGGAAAUAAGAGAGGACACAAACAAAUGGGAAAAAAUUCCAUGCUCAUGGAUAGGAAUAAUCAAUAUCAUGAAAAUGGCCAUACUGCCCAAAGUAAUUUAUGACUCAAUGCUAUUCCCAUCAAGCUACCAUUGACUUUCUUCACAGAAUUAGAAAAAAACUACUUUAAAUUUCAUAUGGAACCAAAAAAAGAAUCUGUAUAGUCAAGACAAUUUUAUGCAGAAAGAACAAAGCUGGAGUCAUCACGUCACCUGACUUCAAACUAUACUACAAGGAUACAGUAACCAAAACAGCAUGGUACUGUUACCAAAACAGAUAUAUAGACCAAUGGAACAGAACAGAGACCUCAGAAAUAACACCACACAUCUAUAACCAUCUUAUCUGCCACAAACUUGACAAAAACAAGCAAUGGGGAAAGGAUUCCCUUUUUAAUAAAUGGUGCUGGGAAAGCUGGCUAGCCAUAUGCAGAAAACAGAAACUGUACCCCUUCCUUAUAACUUAUACAAAAAUAUACUCAAGAAAAAUUAAAGACUUAAAUGUAAAACCCCAAACCACAAAAACACUAGAAGAAAAUCUAGGUAGUACCAUUCAGGAUAUAGGUAUGGGCAAAGACUUCAUUACUAAAACACAAAAGCAACUGCAACAAAUGCCAAAAUUGACAAAUGGGAUCUAAUCAAACUAAAGAGCUUCUGCACAGCAAAAGAAACUAUCACCAGGGUGAACAGGCAACCUACAGAAUGGGAGAAAAAUUUUGCAAGAUACUCAUCUGACAAAGGUCUAAUAUCCAGAAUAUACAAGGAACUUAAAAAAAUUUAUAAGAAAAAAACAACCCCAUCAAAAAGUGGGCAAAGGAUAUAAAGAGACAUUUCUCAAAAGACAUUUAUGUGGCCAAAAAACGUAUGAAAAAAAGUUCAUCAUCACUAGUCGUUAGAGAAAUGCAAAUCAAACCACAAUGAGAUACUAUCUCAUGCCAGUUAGAAUGGCAAUUAUUAAAAAGUCAGGAAACAACAGAUGCUCGUGAGGCUGUGGAGAAAUGCUUUUACACUGUUGGUAGGACUGUAAAUUAGUUCAACCAUUGUGGAAGACAAUGUGGCAAUCCUUAAGAAUCUAGAACCAGAAAUACCAUUCGACCAAGCAAUCCCAUUACUGGGUAUGUACCCAAAGGAUUAUAAAUCAUUAUACUAUAAACACACAUGCACACAUGUUUAUUGCAGAACUCUUUACAGUAGCAAAGACUUGGAACCAACCCAAAUGUCCAUCAAUGAUAGACUGGAUAAGAAAAUGUGGCACAUAUACACCACAGAAUACUAUGCAGCCAUAAAAAAGAAUGAGUUCAUGUCCUUUGCAGGGGCAUGGAUGAAAUUGGAAGCCAUAAUUCUCAGCAAACUAACACAGGAACAGAAAAUCAAACACCACAUUUUCUCACUCAUAAGUGGGAACUGAACGACGAGAACACAUGGAGACAGGAAGGGGAACAUCACAUACUGGGGCCUGUCAGGGUGUGGGGGGCAAUGGGAGGGAGAGCAUUAGGACAAAUACCUAAUUCAUGUGGGGCUUAAAACCUAGAUGAUGUGUUGAUAGGUGCAGCAAACCACCAUGGCACAUGUAUACAUAUGUAACAAACCUACAUGUUUUGCACAUGUAUCACAGAAAUUAAAAAAUUUAAAUUUAAAAACAUAAAAAAUAAAAUCAUCUAUAUAUUUAUAUAUAUAUAUAUUUAUAUAUGUAUAUACACCACGAUUUGAACCCCGUUGAAGACCAAUUUUACACAAAAGUCCCCUAAUUAACAUUGUUUCUAGGAUAUAAAAACUUGUGCAUACAUUGAGGACAUUUUGCAGAAACAAAAAUCCUUACAAAACUCUGUUAAUUCCAAUAUUACAGUUUGAAAUUAGCCUGUGCUGACAAUAACUUAAGUAAACAAAAUUUCCAAACUUAGUAAUAAAAGUAAUUUAAAAAAACUGAAGCAAAGAUAAUUGUUAU
rnacentral:lncRNA from 1 species